GAUGAAGAACGUAGCGAAAUGCGAUAAGUAGUGUGAAUUGCAGAAUUCAGUGAAUCAUCGAAUCUUUGAACGCACAUUGCGCCCCUUGGUAUUCCGGGGGGCAUGCCUGUUCGAGCGUCAUUAUAACCCCUCACGCCGGCGGAGGCGUGGUCAUGGCGGCGGUGGCGUGCCCCGAGAGGGAGGCCACCGCGCUGGAAUCCAUGGGCGGACGCCUGCCGCGUGGCCGAGCGUGAUAAGACGCACUGGCGCUCGCGCGCGGCGAGGCUGCCGGCCCUGGCCCGCUCGUCGGGCGGGGACAGCAACACUUGGGAACUCCUCGAAUCAGGUAGGGAUACCCGCUGAACUUAAGCAUAUCAAUAAGCGGAGGA
rnacentral:misc_RNA from 1 species